GCCCGGCUCCGGGGUUCGUGUUUGAUUUGGGGCGGUAGGGCCGGGCGGCCUCGCUGCCCUUCAUCGCUCUGCCUGUACAGCUGGGGCUGCCCCGGGGCCGUGCCUGGCGCUCCCUGAGUACAGCUCACACAAACUGUACUCGGGCAAUGGAGUACCGAGGAGCUGGCAUUGGAUGGGAGCUGUAAAUUAUUAUCUAUGCUAAUGUGGAAACAGUUCCUUAUUCCUGGGAAUAGUUUUAUGAAAGCAGAACAUCUCCUGUGAUUAUGAUAACCCAAAGGUUCCAGUGCUGUGCCCUGCCAACCACAGCCCAGCUGCUUUUGUGACCUGUGCCCUGCUCUGAGGGGACCUGUGGGGAAGAGUGAGGCAGGAAAAGAACUGAAACAACUGUGGUUGUCACUUCUGAGAGUUGAAGAGUUACACGGUCUGCUGCAUUAUCAUAAAGGAGAUACAGCUUGGUCAAGACUUUUGUGACUAACAAUAAUAAAUUCUAGGAGUGUCCCACAUAUAUAGAGCCUUUACAGAUGCAGAGACUGUCUGCAGGGAUCUGCUGCCUCGUUUGGAGGAGCCCCAGGGUGAAGGCAUAGAGCCAUCAGAGUCUCUGUGGACUUCUUUUGCUGAUGGCAGAGUCAGACUGAGAAUAGAUAACUCAUGCCCACAGACUCCCAUAACAGUUCAUCAGAUGUUCAAGGAGAGCCUGGAAAAAUAUGGAUCCCUUAAUGCUUUGGCCAGCAAAAAGAAUGGAAAAUGGGAGAAAAUAACUUUUUCAGAGUAUUAUUGCCUCUCUAGGAAAGCAGCCAAGAGCUUCUUGAAGCUUGGUCUUGAAAGAUUCCAUAGCGUAGCAAUCCUUGGAUUUAAUUCUCCAGAAUGGUUCAUCUCAGCUGUUGGAGCUAUUUUUGCUGGAGGAAUUGUCACAGGAAUAUAUACAACCAAUUCUCCAGAGGCCUGUCACUACAUUGCCCAUGACAGCAGGACUGAUGUCAUGGUUGUGGAAAAUCAGAAACAGCUGGACAAGAUAAUGCAGAUCUGGAAUCGGUUGCCCCACUUGAAGGCUGUGGUGCUAUAUAAGGACUCCAUUGCAGAGAGACAUCCAAAUUUGUACACGAUGGAAGAGUUUCUGGAGCUGGGAGGUGACGUCUCUGACAGUACUUUGGAUGACAUUAUUAACUCCCAAAAGCCGAAUCAGUGCUGUGUUCUGAUAUACACCUCUGGAACAACUGGGAAGCCAAAAGGAGCCAUGCUGAGUCAUGACAACAUAACUUGGACAUCAGCCCAUUGCAGCAGAGCAGGAGGUAUGCAUCCUGCAGAGGUCCAGCAGGAGUCUAUAGUCAGUUAUCUCCCACUCAGCCACAUAGCUGCACAGAUCUAUGACCUGUGGACUGGAAUCAAAUGGGGAGAGCAAGUUUACUUUGCUGAGCCAGAUGCUCUAAAGGGCAGCUUGAUCAACACACUAAAAGAAGUGCAGCCAACAUCUCAUAUGGGAGUUCCCAGAGUAUGGGAGAAAAUCAUGGAGAAGUUAAAGGAUGUUUCUGCUCAGUCAGGAUUUAUAAAGAAGAAAAUGCUUUCCUGGGCUAUGUCACUUAGCUUAGAGAGGAACCUGAACGGCUCAAACAGCAGUGAUCUAAAGCAGCUCUGGACAAGAUUAGCAGACUACUUAGUGCUUGCGAAAAUCCGUAGUGCCCUGGGGCUUUCUUCCUGUCAGAAGCACUUUUCUGGUGCUGCUCCUCUCAAUACAGAAACACUGUAUUUCUUCCUGGGUCUGAACAUCACUCUGUAUGAGGCCUAUGGGAUGAGUGAGACCACAGGCCCACAUUGCCUUUCUGGGCCUUACAUUUACAGGCAGCACAGCUGUGGUAAACCAGCACCUGGAUGCAGAGUGAAACUGGUGGACAAAGAUACGGAAGGCAAUGGAGAAAUCUGUUUCUGGGGAAGGACUGUUUUCAUGGGUUAUUUAAAUAUGGAAGACAGAACAAAAGAAGCCUUUGAUGAGGAGGGGUGGCUGCAUUCUGGAGAUUUAGGAAAGCUAGACAAGGAUGGCUUUCUCUAUGUCACUGGAAGAAUUAAAGAUUUGAUUAUUACAGCUGGAGGUGAAAACGUGCCUCCAAUUCCAAUUGAAGAUGCUGUUAAAAAAGAACUUCCAAUUGUUAGUAAUGCUAUGGUUAUUGGAGAUAAGAAGAAGUUUUUGUCAAUGUUCCUGACCCUAAAGAGUGUGCUGGACCCAGAUACAUCUGAUCCUACUGACAUUCUCACAGAGCAAGCCAGAGACUUCUGCCAGAGGAGUGGUAGUAAAGCCACCAAAGUGUCCGAGAUUGUAGCUACAAGAGACCAGGCGACCUACAGAGCCAUCCAGGAGGGAAUCGACAGAGUCAACAGCACUGCUACCAACAGGGUUCACUGCAUCCAGAAAUGGAUCGUCCUGCCAAGAGAUUUUUCCAUUUCUGGGGGAGAACUAGCCCCACAUGAGAUGUACAAGGUCACUGCAACAGGCAAGCAGUAUUUACCAAAGCAGGCCCUAUGGUUGAGGAUGAAGGCAGAGCAAUCAAAUGAAAAUGUGAAGUUGACUGUACAGGGAUUGCACGUUCUUCACUCGGAAGGAAAUCCUUCGGAGAACCCCUUCAAAGAAAGGAUUGUGGAGUCUUUCUCAGAAGAUGGAGAGGGGAGCCUGAGCUUCAAUGACUUUGUGGAUAUGUUCUCCGUGCUCAGUGAAAUGGCUCCCCGAGAGCUUAAAGCAAUCUAUGCCUUUAAGAUUUAUGAUUUUAACACAGAUAACUUCAUUUGUAAAGCAGACUUGGAAAAAACCCUCAAUAAGCUGACCCGGGAAGAGCUGACAGCAGAGGAAAUCACUCUGGUUUGUGAGAAGGUGAUAGAAGAAGCUGACAUGGAUGGUGAUGGGAAAUUAGGAUUUGCAGAUUUUGAAAACAUGAUUUCCAAGGCACCAGACUUUCUCAGAUAUUUCCAGCUAAGAAAACAUCUUCUUUAUACUGCUAUUCAUGUAGAAGCUGCUGGGAUCAGGUAGGGUUUCCUUUAAUCAAACAAAAGGCUGUGCUGCUCCUACAAAGCUGGUAGAGAACAGCGAUCAAAUGUGAAGAAUUGAAGGCAGAUCUGAAAAUUCAGUAGAAGCUGCAGUUUUGGAAGUUUCCUGUGCCAUGACUGACUUUACUGCUGUGUUGUAGAGGCUGGCAAACUGCUGACUGAGAAUUCCAAGGUGAUGUUUUGGGAAGAUGAGGAAAUGAGUGAAAAUCACUGAGUGCUGGGUAUUCAGCAGGGCAAGAUGAUGAGUAAAAAGUGGGAUGAACUGAGAUGUGUAUUAUAGAUUAGUACUUUCCACAUAAGAAUCUGAAGAUGUUUCUGCCAGUCCAGCCUUUCUGAAUCUCAGGCACUCCAGGGAUUUUUGUCCUCUAAUGAGGGCUUCCUAGAACUCAGCAGAAAGUACUGAAAGAAUUCUGGUCCACAAAGAGACAGAAGCAUCAUGUGAUCUACAGGAUAUUUGGAACAGACACAUUUUUAUCUUCUCUCCUGGCCAAGCACUCUGGCAAAGAUGGUUGGUUGUUGGAUUGUGGUAUUUCCCUGCACCCCCCCCCCUUUUUUUAACAGUCAGAAUCAGAAUAUUAUUAAAGGUAUUUCCACAGAGUUUUUAUAUUUAUGAAUAUUUAAUACUGCUCUUUAAAGCGAAAAAAACCCACCCCAAAACCAAAAAACUGAGAGAUUAGCUUUCGUUUGUUUUCCAAGAGUAUUUGAAAGAAAGGAUGGGCCUUAAAUAAUGAGAUGCCUCUAUCACUGUGUUGGACAGCUGGGAUCUUGCAUGGAAAAUAUGUGAGGUGAAAGCACUGCUGUCAAGAUCAAGCUCCCAGUGUUGAAGACAGCCACAGCCCACGUUUGCCUUUCAGCCACUAAAAUGGCAACUGCUGGGUUUGGUGCUUACCUUCAACCAAUAUUUUAUGGAUUGUUGUGUCCUUAUAAAACUUGAAAUAUUUGCUUUUUGUAUAUGAUAACUGUGUACGUGAUUCAUUUCUUCCCAAGAUAAAUGUUGAAACUCAGUCCUUACUCUCAAAGGGGCUCCUGCAUUUUACUCAUUCUAUGGGCUGAUAAUGUUCUUGAAUGGAGGAACAUGGUCAUCUGUAACUCAUGAAGAAGUUGAAGAAGCACAGAACUACUAUUAAGGACAUGAAAAGAUAUUUUCUUUUGAAACAAGCUAUGCAAUCUCUCCUAUAAAAUGCAUGAAUGCAGUUCUAUCUUUUUCUUUCCUCUCCAGCUGGAAAUCAGCUAGAUCUUUUUGUUGGGUUUUUUUUUUUUUUGGUUUGUUGUUUCGAUUUGUUUUUUUUUAUUUAUUUUAUUUUUACUUCCAGUAUUGUUUAGGUACUGGGACCUGAAGACAAUCAUAUGUGUAUUAAUUACUGUUCUAACAGUCAAUAGAAGGGCUCUGUCACUUACAUGGCUUCUGUAUCAAGGUCAUCACAAUUAAAACUUUUAAAGCAUUCUGUUGUGCUUUGAGAAUUUUUAGGCUGACCACAUACUAAUUUCCUUUCUGAUCAUUAUUCCAAUUACUAUAAAGUCAAAUCUUUCAAAGGAUCAAAUGUGUUAUAUAGAAAACUGUUAAAACAGAGAACCUAACCUGUUUAUCAUUUCUGUAGGGAUGGUGAUAGCUAUCUACAUCGGAAACUCUUCUGUGUGGUGACCUUGCAGGGUAGCUUACUGUUCAGAUUUACACACUAUGAAUAAAGAAGAAAUAUUUCUCUAGCAGUAUGUGUGUACAUUAAAAGUUUCAAUGGAAAUUUUGGAUAUUCAAAGUAUAUGGGACAGACAUGUUUAAGAUUGCUCAGUGAAAAUGACAGGAAUAGCAUUUAUUUGUAAUACAUAUCUUAGAGCUAUUAUGUUAAUUGAUGUUUAUAGCAUUUUAAUGCUUCCACCUACUGAUUUCUGUUUAGAUCAAGAAAUUAAAACCUGAAUUCCCUUACCCAAGUUAAAAUUAACAGAAAUCAAUCCUCAUGUUCAGUUCUGACUGAGUAAAAAGAGAUUCAAGCCUGUUUUUCAUUUUGAGCAGAUUAAGUUAGAUGUAUCGGCUGAUUCAAAAUAUUUGCAAGACAUUGGUAUGAAGAGAGAUUAUUACUUAAAUUACUUCCUAUUAAUUGAAGUAUCAGUCUAAUUUAAAAAAAAAACUUAUUUCAAGACAGACAUUUAAUCUUGGAAACCUUGUGAGGUGUGUAGGAAGAUAUGAUUCGGAUGUGUUUGUAAAAUACCAGGUUACAAGAUUUGGGAUGAGAUUAUCCAGACAAAAAGGAUCUGGUGCUGAUGACAUAGGUCAAUUCCUUUUGGUAUCUACAUUCUUCUGUGUGUUAUGAUUGUCAUUAGCUAAAAUUCCUGUAUUCCUGACACUGUGUCAUUCUUGGGUUAUAUCACACUCCCCUCCUAAAGGACGAGCAGCCUUGGAAGUGCUCAGUGUGUUGUUUCCCUGGGCCCUCCCUGACCUAAAUGUCACAAAGCCCUUAGGAGACACAUGAGCUUGCAGCCAGAUGUUUGACCUUGGAGUCAUCUACCUGAGCUGAAAAACAAAGAGAAAAAGAAAUUAGGAGUACCUUGUGGAGAAAUAUUCCUGUUCAUAGAGACGUGUUCUUGCCAAAUACUGUAGAUACAAAUGUGUGCAGCUGUCCUAACUGCCUUCAUUUUUUUGACUUACAUUCAUGUCCUGUAGCAAAAACCAUUGUGUGUCCCUGGUGUUUGAGAGAGAUCUGUGCACUCAAUCCUUCAGCACUGCCUAGUGGUGGGUGAGUAUUCCCAGCACCUGAUGGCAGAGGUGAGGGAUAGAUUUCUGAAGUGCUUUGUAUUUGUGCUUUCACAGUUGUCUGUAGCUGGAUGUCUUGUGACUGGCAGUGUUCUUACCGCAAGAUGGUUGAGUGUGUGGUUCAGUGGGAUCCAAAUUUAAUCCUGUCAUGAGGUACCAAACCUGCUGGAUUUUGGCAAUUGUAUUACUGGCACAAUCUAGCAGAUUCUCUAGCAAGCAUUUCUUCAACCAGCCUUACUCUAAAAGAACCAUCAGGCCAUGUGGAAAGAAACUGGAACAGUAAAAGAGGUUUAGAUUAAAACAGUUUUGGAUUUUGCCCAAAAGUAAGAGGACAUACAUUUUGAAUUGCAGAAAAGUGUUAAAUAUAAACAGAUGUUACUAUAUUUUUUUCAUAAAUGGACAAAGAAAAAUGAAAACCGUUACCUAAAGCCUCUAUCAAAACAGCUCUGUGUGUGGUCUCUCAUUUAUAUACAGUUAAAGCAUCUUGGGGACAAAAAAAGAGUUGUGAAAGUAAAUAAAACUAUCAAAAAGUAAGAAAUAACUUGGUUAUUUUAAUUGAUCAUUGUUUUAAGGAAAUACUGUAAACCAAGACUUGCAACAGCCUGCAGGCCAAAAUCUGAUUUGCAUUACUUCCACAUUAAUCUCCAGUAACUGCUGACUUCAGUGGAAUUAACUAAUGUCUGUAAUUGGAUCUGUGUUGGGGAAAGUUCUUGAGGUUUUGCUGCAGUUCUUUGUGUCCUCUCAUGCCCUUUUAAUGUAAUCUUAAUAUGCUGAAUGCUCUUUUCUUAACCAAUAACCACACGCUCUUCUUUUUCAACAGGCUCACUGUUGGAAUCUCUUGCAAUUUCUUGCAGUCACAGAGUAACAGUCUCCUUUCCUUUUCUCCCUAGGACUAAUUUUUAUCUCCUUAUGCAUGUUAGAGGCACUUAUGAUAAAACCUCACAAGGUGGCACCACACCACCAUAGCAAGUCAUAAAUUCAUGACUUCAUUUAACACUUUAAAUGUCCCUGAAAUACAGGAUACUCUGUAGAAUCUAUGAUGCCAUAAACAAAAAUAUGAAACUGUGAUUAAUUACUGAUUUUAAAACUGUACAUAAUUACAGAGAAAGUUUUGUGUUUCUCAACAGCAGAUCAAUAAAAACAUGUUUUAAUAAAGUCCCUGGAAAUUGAAACGUACA